UACGGGGGGGGCAAGCGUUGUUCGGAAUUACUGGGCGUAAAGGGUUUGUAGGUGGCUUGUUAAGUCAGACGUGAAAUCCCUCAGCUUAACUGGGGAACUGCGUCUGAUACUGGCGAGCUUGAGUGCAGGAGAGGAACGCGGAAUUCCAGGUGUAGCGGUGAAAUGCGUAGAUAUCUGGAGGAACACCGGUGGCGAAGGCGGGUCUCUGGGCCGAUACUGACGCUGAGGAGCGAAAGCGUGGGGAGCGAACAGG
rnacentral:rRNA from 1 species